UUUCUGAUGUGGCUACUCUGGAAUACAAUUUAUGGGCGAGAGAUCAGACUUUCAGGUUGGGUGCGGUAUUAUAUCUCAUCAGAUUCAGUAACCAGCGUGGAAUUAAUUUUAAUUUUGUUCUUCAUCAGAUAAGUAGAGCCAUGCUUUACCCCAAUCUUCAUUUUAUGAAUCUCAACUUCAAAAAUCAUGAUAGUUGCACUGUAUUUUGUUGAGUCCAACACAAAGCUGAGAGCAGAGUACCUACUUUGUCUUGGUAAGCCAAAUAGUUGGUACUUGCUGAGGCUACAAAAUUAUCUUAAUUGUUCCAUUUAGUAGUUCACUGAAUAUUAAACAAUGCUGUUUCUUCCACUGGGGAGUUGUUUUAUGUAGCCCGAACAACAAACAGCCUAUGAACUUCUAAACCAAUUCUUUUUUUUAUUAGGACCCUGCUCUUUUAACUGAAAAACUGGGAGCACUAGCAGUUCUUCACAAGGUAAUCACCUCCUAUGAAUGUUUGGUGGUGCUGCUCCAAUUUCUAUUGCAGUGCUUCUGAUGUAUGAAUGGAUUAUUUUCCUCAUUUGCUAAUUAAUGCAACUGGCGUAAUUCUUCAUGAGAAUAGAUAUUUUUGUAGUGCACAGUAUGAUGUUUUUAGUUACCCUCCUUAUGAAUAGAUUUUUUGUAGUGCACAGUACAAUAUUUUUGUCAGGGUUGCAUGUUGCUUGCUACUGCUACUGCUUGUACAAUUGUGUUUUUUUGUAAUAUUUCUUAACUGUUAAGAGAUAUGGCCACACUGAGAUUUUGCUAUGGGCAGGAAAGUGGAUUGGACAAUGCCGCUAGUUCGGAUGGCGCCCCAUAUGGUUGUCGACCAUGGGCGACGUGAGGAGGGACAAGGUAGAGAAAGGGGGUCAGGUUGGCGCCACAUUAGAGGUGAGCGAGGGGGCCGGGGUUGCGUCGCUGCAGAGAUGCGCGAGGGGAUCGGAGCUGCCAAGCGGAUUAAUCAGAGCACUUCGCUCCUGCUGCCUUUGGCCUGAUGCUUAGAUGGAUUGAUGCGUAAGUUUGAAUCCUUUCAUUUUUCACUUCUCUAAUGGGUGGCUGAUGGCCUGAUGCUUUGAUGGAUCGAUGCAUGCUAGAACUGGCUGAUAUGUGCGUGUGUGUGCACAUUUUUUUCUUUUGAUUUUUGUAGAGAUUGGCUCAUGCUUCUCUGCUUAUGGAUUUCUUCUUUCUUCUGUCUGUGUUUCUCACUCUGUUGUUGAAUGAUCUGGUGAUUUUUUUUCUUUGUGGGCUUAUCUGAUGAAAUUUACUGCUACUUAGAUUGUGCACUGACACUGCCACCAGAAGAUAGAUCAUAGAUGCAUGUGUUUGCUUUCGAACAUGGUGCGUAAUCUUGUGGUUUGCCAACUGUCACCUCCGGCAAUUUCAGUUCAACAUGUCUUGGUUUUUGCAUUCUGAGUUCAGAGUUCUACAUAGUGGAAUG
rnacentral:lncRNA from 1 species